CCGAGAAGGGUAUCGUGUGAUUCGAUUUAUUUUGAAUAGGAUUUAUUGCUUUUAUGUAAAUAAUAGGAAAAAUAUUUUAAUUCUUAAAGUAGAGUGAAUCGAAUAAAGAUUUAGGCUGAGCAUAAUUUACUGUGAAGGAAAUAUGAAAUAAAUUGAAAAUUUAAUAUAUAUAAAGUAAUAAUUAACUUAUGUACCUUGUGCAUAAUGGGCAUUUAAAUUUAUUUAGUUAGUCUAAAUAUCUCGGAAGAGAAAUAGUUAGGAUAAGAAGAAAGUUUUUGUAGAAUAAAAAUUUUUAAUUUUAUUUCUAAGAGUGAAAUGUUAAUUGAGUUCUCUAAUAUCUAGUUUUUUGGGAAGUAAAUUGAAUUUAGCUUUUCUAUAUUUUUUUUUAGAAAAAGUAAAGGUAGAGGGGAAGAGCUCUUUAUUACAUGAUUUUAUAAGGAGAAAAAAGUUAUAUAAAUUAAACUAAGCUUAAAAUUAGCUAUGUUAAUAAAGUGUUAUAAUUAAUAUUAGAACUAUAAAUUAUUUAUAUAUCCUUUAAAUUUGUACUAAGAAUUAAUUUAAAAUUUUAUAAAAUUAGUUAUAAUAAAUGUAUUAGUAUAUAGUAAUGUAGAAAAUAGAAUAUUUAAAUAUAAAUAAGAUUUUACAUUCAUAAAGGUAUAUUUAAGGAAUUCGGCAAAUAAAUUAUUUCUGCCUGUUUAACAAAAACAUGUCUAUAUGAAAGAUAUAUAAAGUCUAACCUGCCCAUUGGAAUCUAAAAGGCCGCGGUAUUAUGACCGUGCUAAGGUAGCAUAAUCAUUAGUCUUUUAAUUGGAGGCUGGUAUGAAUGGUUGGACAAGAAAUAAGCUGUCUUAAAUAAAAAUAUUGAAUUUAACUUUUAAGUGAAAAGGCUUAAAUUUUCUAAGGGGACGAUAAGACCCUAUAAAACUUUAUAUUUUAAAAUAAUAAUUAAUUUUUAUAUAGAAGAUUUAUUUUUAAAUAUUUUAUUGGGGUGAUAAAGAUAAAAUGUGAGAUAACUGUCUUUUUUUUUUUACAAUUAAUAUUUGAGUAAAAGAUCUUAACAAAGGAAAUAAGAGAUUAAGUUACUUUAGGGAUAACAGCGUAAUUUUCUUUAAGAGUUCUUAUCGACAAGAAAGUUUGCGACCUCGAUGUUGAAUUAAAAGUUCUUUAUAGAGUAGAUAUUAUAAUAGAGGGUCUGUUCGACCCUUAAAAUUUUACAUGAUUUGAGUUCAGACCGGUGUAAACCAGGUCGGUUUCUAUCUUUUAGGAAAUAGUUAAUUAUUUUAGUACGAAAGGAUUUAAUAAUUAAAAAAUUUUUUAAAAAUUUUAUUAUUUUGGCAGAUUAUGCGCUAGAUUUAGAAUCUAGUAAUAUAGAAUUUCUA
rnacentral:rRNA from 1 species